GGAUGUGAGGGAUCUGUCACCCUAUUGAUCAACAGUGUUGAUUUUGCUGAUCUGGCUGGCUAGCGAGGUGCCCCUUUCUCCCCUCACAGCUCCUCUUCCCCAAUAGAGGGGACAGUCUUUGGUCAAGGAUAUAGGAGUAGCAGCACUCCCCUGCUAGAACCUCCAAACACGCUCUCAUUAUAUUUUCAUGCAUAAAUUGUACCUUGUUCAUAAUCACCC
rnacentral:snRNA from 1 species